rnacentral:ncRNA from 1 species
AAAGACUUAGUCCUAACCUUACCGUUAAUUCUUACCAAACAUAUACAUGCAAGUAUCCGCGUCCCAGUGUAAAUGCCCUGGACCUCUUACCUAAGACGGAAGGAGCAGGUAUCAGGCACACCUAAACCGUAGCCCAAGACACCUUGCUUAGCCACACCCUCACGGGUACUCAGCAGUAAUUAACAUUAAGCAAUAAGUGCAAACUUGACUUAGUUAUGGUAUUCUAGGGUUGGUAAAUCUUGUGCCAGCCACCGCGGUCACACAAGAGACCCAAAUUAACCGUAAUACGGCGUAAAGAGUGGCAUAAUGGUAUCGCAGCAACUAAGGUCGAAAUGUAAUUGAGCUGUCAUAAGCCUAAAAUACUCAUAAGAUCACUCUCAACACAACCUCAGCCCCCCUGAUUAACUCUAAGCCACGAAAGCUAGGGCACAAACUGGGAUUAGAUACCCCACUAUGCCUAGCCCUAAAUCUCAAUACUUGCUUAACCAAAGUAUUCGCCUGAGAACUACGAGCAUAAACGCUUAAAACUCUAAGGACUUGGCGGUGUUCCAAACCCACCUAGAGGAGCCUGUUCUAUAAUCGAUAACCCACGAUUCACCUAGCCACCCCUUGCCAGAGCCAGCCUAUAUACCGCCGUCGCCAGCCCGCCUCCUUGAGAGUAUAACAGCGGGCUAAAUAGUUCAUACCACUAGCAAGACAGGUCAAGGUAUAGCCCAUGGGGUGGAAGAAAUGGGCUACAUUUUCUAACAUAGAAAAUUCACGGAGGAGGACAUGAAAUUGCCCCCAGAAGGCGGAUUUAGCAGUAAAGCGGGACAAUAGUGCCCCCUUUAAACCGGCACUGGAACACGUACAUACCGCCCGUCACCCUCUUCGCAAGCUACAAAUACUAAUAAUUAAAUACCUCAGCCAGCUAAAGACGAGGCAAGUCGUAACAAGGUAAGUGUACCGGAAGGUGUACUUAGCAUA